rnacentral:rRNA from 1 species
GACGAACGCUGGCGGCGUGCUUAACACAUGCAAGUCGAACGGAAAGGCCCUGCUUUUGUGGGGUGCUCGAGUGGCGAACGGGUGAGUAACACGUGAGUAACCUGUCCUUGACUUUGGGAUAACUUCAGGAAACUGGGGCUAAUACCGGAUAGGAGCUCCUGCUGCAUGGUGGGGGUUGGAAAGUUUCGGCGGUUGGGGAUGGACUCGCGGCUUAUCAGCUUGUUGGUGGGGUAGUGGCUUACCAAGGCUUUGACGGGUAGCCGGCCUGAGAGGGUGACCGGCCACAUUGGGACUGAGAUACGGCCCAGACUCCUACGGGAGGCAGCAGUGGGGAAUAUUGCACAAUGGGCGGAAGCCUGAUGCAGCAACGCCGCGUGCGGGAUGACGGCCUUCGGGUUGUAAACCGCUUUCGCCUGUGACGAAGCGUGAGUGACGGUAAUGGGGAAAGAAGCACCGGCUAACUACGU